rnacentral:rRNA from 1 species
CGGUGGAGCACGUGGUUUAAUUCGAUGCAAACCGAAGAACCUUACCUGGGUUUGACAUGUACGUGUUACUGAUCUGAGAGGAGAGGGACCCAUGCUUCGGUAUGGGAGCGUACACAGGUGCUGCAUGGCUGUCGUCAGCUCGUGUCGUGAGAUGUUGGGUUAAGUCCCGCAACGAGCGCAACCCUGCAUCCAGUUGCCAUCGGGCGAGCCGGGCACUCUGGAGGGACUGCCGGCGACAAGCCGGAGGAAGGUGGGGACGACGUCAAGUCAUCAUGGCCCUUAUGUCCAGGGCGACACACGUGCUACAAUGGCCGGCACAGCGGGAAGCGGAGGGGCGACCCUGAGCGGAUCCCUUGAAAGCCGGUCCCAGUUCGGAUUGCAGUCUGCAACUCGACUGCAUGAAGUUGGAAUCGCUAGUAAUCGCGGAUCAGCCAAGCCGCGGUGAAUACGUUCCCGGGCCUU